rnacentral:piRNA from 1 species
UGACAAAGCACAAGCUCUUCAGGCAAAUGU